UACGGGGGGGGGCAAGCGUUGUUCGGAAUUACUGGGCGUAAAGGGCUCGUAGGCGGCCAACUAAGUCAGACGUGAAAUCCCCUCGGCUUAACCGGGGAACUGCGUCUGAUACUGGAUGGCUUGAAUCCGGGAGAGGGAUGCGGAAUUCCAGGUGUAGCGGUGAAAUGCGUAGAUAUCGAGAGGAACACCUGCGGCGAAGGCGGGUAGCUGGGCCGACACUGACGCUGAUGCGCGAAAGCUAGGGGAGCGAACGGG
rnacentral:rRNA from 1 species